GGGCGAAUGGUUUAGUGGUAUAAUACUCCCUUAGCAAGUAUCAGCCAGCUGAUGUGUCUGGGAGUGGUCCAGGGUUCGAUUCCCUGUUCGUCCA
rnacentral:tRNA from 1 species